UGGAUACCUAAGUUCCCAUAGCAAACUGCUCAGUAACACAUGAUCAACUUACCCUAUAGAGAAAAACAACCUCGGGAAACUGAGGAUAAUGUUUCAUAAUUGAAUUGGCUUGGAAAAGUUUUUCAAUGAAAGGGAUAAAAAAAAUGGUUUUUAUCUGCUAUAGGAUAGGAUCGUGUUCGAUUAUGGUUGUUGGUGAGAUAAUGGCUCACCAAGCCGAUAAUCGAUAGGGGCCGUGAGAGCGGGAGCCCCGAGAUGGGUACUGAGACAACGACCCAGGCCUUACGAGGCGCANCAGGCGCGGAACCUCCGCAAUACACGAAAGUGUGACGGGGUUACCCAAAGUGUUCAAUAGAACUGUGGUAGGUGAGUAAUGUCCCCUACUANAAAGGAGAGGGCAAGGCUGGUGCCAGCCGCCGCGGUAAAACCAGCUCUUCAAGUGGUCGGGAUAAUUAUUGGGCUUAAAGUGUCCGUAGCCGGUUUAGUAAGUUCCUGGUAAAAUCGGGUAGCUUAACUAUCUGCAUGCUAGGAAUACUGCUAUACUAGANGGCGGGAGAGGUCUGAGGUACUACAGGGGUAGGGGUGAAAUCUUAUAAUCCUUGUAGGACCACCA
rnacentral:rRNA from 1 species